AGAUAUCUAUUUUCUUCAUAAAACAGACCUCAAUGGGACAUCAGUACCAGGGGGUAUCGGUGCAACAGCUGUUGAAGGUGGAAUUGUGC